rnacentral:rRNA from 1 species
GAUGAACGCUGGCGGCGUGCCUAAUACAUGCAAGUCGAGCGCGAGAUUGAGGAGCUUGCUCCUCAUGAUCGAGCGGCGGACGGGUGAGUAACACGUAGGCAACCUACCCUUGAGAUUGGGAUAACUACCGGAAACGGUAGCUAAUACCGGAUACGACUUUUCCACAUAAGUGGAAUGGUUAAAAGGCGGAUUUAUCUGCCGCUCAUGGAUGGGCCUGCGGUGCAUUAGCUAGUUGGUGAGGUAGUGGCUCACCAAGGCGACGAUGCAUAGCCGACCUGAGAGGGUGAUCGGCCACACUGGGACUGAGACACGGCCCAGACUCCUACGGGAGGCAGCAGUAGGGAAUCUUCCGCAAUGGACGAAAGUCUGACGGAGCAACGCCGCGUGAGUGAUGAAGGGUUUCGGCUCGUAAAACUCUGUUGUUAAGGAAGAACACUUGAGGUAGUAACUGGCCUUGAGAUGACGGUACUUAACCAGAAAGCCACGGCUAACUACGUGACAGCCGCCGCCGUAA